rnacentral:rRNA from 1 species
UGGGGAAUAUUGGACAAUGGGGGAAACCCUGAUCCAGCAAUGCCGCGUGGGUGAUGAAGGCCUUCGGGUUGUAAAGCCCUUUUGGCGGGGACGAUGAUGACGGUACCCGCAGAAUAAGCCCCGGCUAACUUCGUGCCAGCAGCCGCGGUAAUACGAAGGGGGCUAGCGUUGUUCGGAAUUACUGGGCGUAAAGGGCGCGUAGGCGGUCGUGCAAGUCAGAUGUGAAAGCCCUGGGCUCAACCCAGGAUGUGCAUUUGAUACUGCAUGGCUAGAGUGUCGGAGAGGAUGGUAGAAUUCCCAGUGUAGAGGUGAAAUUCGUAGAUAUUGGGAAGAACACCGGUGGCGAAGGCGACCAUCUGGACGACAACUGACGCUGAGGCGCGAAAGCGUGGGGAGCAAACA